UUAGACAAGCAGGCAGUCGCUGUAUUCUUUUGAAUAGGGAGGAAAGUCCGGGCUUCGCAGGGUACAAUGCUAUCUAACGGAUAGGCAUCGCAAGAUGACGGAAAGUGGCACAGAAAACAAACCGCCCCUUGUGGGUAAGGGUGAAAAGGCGUGGUAAGAGCACACCGCACGCACGGUAACGGGCGUGGCAGGCUAAACCCCAUUGGAAGCAAGACCAAAUAGAGCACUAUGCUGCGACCCGUAGCGUGUUCGGGUAGGUCGCUGGAAUAUGUCGGCAACGGCAUAUCAAGAUGAAUGACUGCUCAACGACAGAACCCGGCUUAUCGCUUGUCUAAUAAG
rnacentral:RNase_P_RNA from 1 species